rnacentral:rRNA from 1 species
AAGUAGGUCUUAGUGAUCCGGUGGUUCUGAAUGGAAGGGCCAUCGCUCAACGGAUAAAAGGUACUCCGGGGAUAACAGGCUGAUACCGCCCAAGAGUUCAUAUCGACGGCGGUGUUUGGCACCUCGAUGUCGGCUCAUCACAUCCUGGGGGCUGAAGUAGGUCCCAAGGGUAUGGCUGUUCGCCUUUAAAGUGGUACGCGAGCUGGGUUUAGAACGUCGUGAGACAGUUCGGUCCCUAUCUGCCGUGGGCGUUGGAAGAUUGAGAGGGGUUGCUCCUAGUACGAGAGGACCGGAGUGAACGCACCACUGGUGUUCGGG